rnacentral:rRNA from 1 species
UACGAAGGGGGCUAGCGUUGCUCGGAAUCACUGGGCGUAAAGGGUGCGUAGGCGGGUCUUUAAGUCAGGGGUGAAAUCCUGGAGCUCAACUCCAGAACUGCCUUUGAUACUGAAGGUCUUGAGUUCGGGAGAGGUGAGUGGAACUGCGAGUGUAGAGGUGAAAUUCGUAGAUAUUCGCAAGAACACCAGUGGCGAAGGCGGCUCACUGGCCCGAUACUGACGCUGAGGCACGAAAGCGUGGGGAGCAAACAGG